UACGUAGGUCCCGAACGUUGCGCGAAUUUACUGGGCGUAAAGGGUCCGUAGGCGGGUUAGCAAGGGGUUGGUGAAAUUUCACGGCUCAACCGUGAAACUGCCUUCCAAACUGCUAAACUUGAGGCAGGGAGAGGUCGGCGGAAUUGCCGGUGUAUCGGUGAAAUGCGUAGAUAACCGGAGGAACACCAGUGGCGAAGGCGGCCGACUGGAACUGUCCUUAUGCUGAGGGACUAAAGCUAGGGGAGCAAACCGG
rnacentral:rRNA from 1 species